AAUCAACGCUGGCGGCGUGCCUCAGACAUGCAAGUCGAACGCGAAAGUCCCCUUCGGGGGACAAGUAGAGUGGCGCACGGGUGAGUAACACGUAGGUAAUCUACCUUCGGAUGGGGAAUAACAACCGGAAACGGUUGCUAAUACCGCAUAAUGCAGCGGCACCUAAUGGUGACAGUUGUUAAAGCGGGGGAUCGAAAGACCUCGCGUCUGAAGAGGAGCCUGCGGCGGAUUAGCUAGNGGUAAGGUAAUGGCUUACCAAGGCGACGAUCCGUAGCCGGCCUGAGAGGGCGGUCGGCCACACUGACACUGACAUACGGGUCAGACUCCUACGGGAGGCAGCAGUCGGGAAUUUUGGGCAAUGGGCGAAAGCCUGACCCAGCAACGCCGCGUGAAGG
rnacentral:rRNA from 1 species